rnacentral:rRNA from 1 species
AGAGUUUGAUCAUGGCUCAGAUUGAACGCUGGCGGCAUGCCUUACACAUGCAAGUCGAACGGUAACAGGUCUUCGGAUGCUGACGAGUGGCGAACGGGUGAGUAAUACAUCGGAACGUGCCCGAUCGUGGGGGAUAACGAGGCGAAAGCUUUGCUAAUACCGCAUACGAUCUACGGAUGAAAGCGGGGGAUCUUCGGACCUCGCGCGGACGGAGCGGCCGAUGGCAGAUUAGGUAGUUGGUGGGAUAAAAGCUUACCAAGCCGACGAUCUGUAGCUGGUCUGAGAGGAUGAUCAGCCACACUGGGACUGAGACACGGCCCAGACUCCUACGGGAGGCAGCAGUGGGGAAUUUUGGACAAUGGGCGAAAGCCUGAUCCAGCCAUGCCGCGUGCAGGAUGAAGGCCUUCGGGUUGUAAACCGCUUUUGUACGGAACGAAAAGCCUCUUUCUAAUAAAGAGGGGUCAUGACGGUACCGUAAGAAUAAGCACCGGCUAACUACGUGCCAGCAGCCGCGGUAAUACGUAGGGUGCAAGCGUUAAUCGGAAUUACUGGGCGUAAAGCGUGCGCAGGCGGUUUUGUAAGACAGAGGUGAAAUCCCCGGGCUCAACCUGGGAACUGCCUUUGUGACUGCAAGGCUGGAGUGCGGCAGAGGGGGAUGGAAUUCCGCGUGUAGCAGUGAAAUGCGUAGAUAUGCGGAGGAACACCGAUGGCGAAGGCAAUCCCCUGGGCCUGCACUGACGCUCAUGCACGAAAGCGUGGGGAGCAAACAGGAUUAGAUACCCCGGUAGUCCAA